AUGCUCGGCGUCGGCACCUGUCCACAUGUUCGCCACCUCGUCCAGCGCGGCCGUGGCGGCACCUCCCUCGAGGAGGCCUUCAAUGGCGGCCUUCUGCAACGUCGCCACCUUAGCUCUCACCUCGGCGCCUUUGCCUUGGCCAGCCAUCACCUCCCUCACCGCCGCGGCGAUCUCCUCCUUUUUCUUGGUCGCCGGCACCCGCACGGCGGCCCCGACGCCCUCCGAGAGCAUCACGGCGUUCUGCCGCUGCUCGGCGAAGAGCGGCCACGCGACCAUGGGCACGCCGUGCACCAGGCUCUCCAGGACCGAGUUCCACCCGCAGUGCACCAGGAAGCACCCCGUGGCCUCGUGAGCGAGCACCUCCGUCUGCGGCGCCCACGACGGCACGAGGAGGCCGACGCCCUUGGUCCGCUCCACGAACCCCGCCGGGAGGUAGGCCAGGGGGUCCCUCUUGCUCUCGGCGUCGUAGUAGUUGGCGUUGACGGCCCCCUCGUCGCUCGGGCUCCGCACCACCCACAGGAAGCGCUGCCCGCUGAGCUCCAGCCCCAGCGCCAGCUCGUGCAUCUGCUCGGUUGGGAGGGAGCCCCCGGAGCCGAACGAGACGAAGACGACCGACCUGGGCGGCUGCCGGUCGAGCCAGUCCAGGCAGGCGGCGCGCGGCGCGUCGGUGGCGACGGGCGCGGCGUCGGUCCGUAUGAUGGGACCGAUGCUGUACACCGGCGGGCGGCCGGGCUCCGGGCGGCCGAGCACCGUGGCGGCGUCCGGCUCCAAGACGUCGAAGGAGUUUACCAGGAUGGCGUCGGCCUCGCGGUAGCGCGCGCCGUGGUGCACCAUCCACCGGUAGCUCGGGCUGGACUUGUCCUGCAGCGGCGAGAGGAUGUCCACCCCCGGGAUGGGCACGCAGCCGGGGAGCCUGACGGGCUCGGCCAGGUCCCGGAACUCGCCGGGCAUGGAGACGUGGAGCUCCGGGAGGUGGAGGAUGAGCGUGAGCCCCUGGAGGUUCCCGGGGAAGAAGAGGUACCUCCUGGGCACGGCGGCGGCCACGGCGGCGUCGAAGGAGUCGGCCCCGAAGAGGUCGGCGAAGUAGGCGACCAGGCGCGUGGUGUCCAUGAGCCGCGAGAGGGCCUCCGUGAGCGCCGGCACCAGCCGCGCGCACUCCUCGGACAUGAGCAUCUCGAUGGAGGCGUCGGGCGGCAGGUCGGAGAGGUCGACGGGCGGGAGGGAGAGGGAGGAGAUGGCCGGCGGGAGGGAGGCGAGGAAGGCCCGCUGCGUGGCGGACGCCGUGGAGGCGAAGGUGAUGAGCGUGGCCUCGACGCCGUGCCGCGCGGCGAGGCGCUUGGCCAGCUCGGCCAGCGGGAUCAGGUGGCCCAUCCCGGGCGUCACCAGCAUGGCGACGUGCGGAGGGCGGCGAGCCUCGGCCGCGCCGCCGCUGAUGCCGUUCGCCUCCAUUGUUUCUCCCGCCGCUGA
rnacentral:rRNA from 1 species